CCGAGUUUACAACUCCCAAACCCAAUGUGAACGUUACCAAACUGUUGCCUCGGCGGGAUCUCUGCCCCGGGUGCGUCGCAGCCCCGGACCAAGGCGCCCGCCGGAGGACCAACCAAAACUCUUAUUGUAUACCCCCUCGCGGUUUUUUACUAUCUGAGCCAUCUCGGCGCCCCUCGUGGGCGUUUCGAAAAUGAAUCA
rnacentral:misc_RNA from 1 species